AACACAAUACUCUAGAAGACGCCAGGUUCUUGAAAUAACAGAACUUUAUUUAGAAACUGUUUAAAAGUAGAAAAAAACCCUGUGAAAAGGAGCUCUGGUGUGAAUUAACGUUUAGGGCAAAACGUGUCUUAGAAGGCCACAAGAGAAACAGCACCCUCUGAUGUUUUAAAUAAUGGCUUUCUUUUCUGUCUUUUCCCUUCUUUCAUUUUUUUUUUUCCUUUUUCUUUUUUCUUUUUGGCAUUCGUCAAAACGUGGGUCUCCCGCUGAACGGUCAUUAAGGAAAUCAUGCACUACACAACAAGUUACCGUUAACUCUUUUUGUUUUUUCUACACACACCUAUCGAGACACACAAUCACCGGAAGCAAACGGACGAAAGGAACGCACCAAGCCGGAAGCUUAGCCUUUGCUGUGGCGAGGGGGAACGGGGUGGGGUGGGGGUGGGAGGUCCGAAACCUCCCAAAUCCCCCUCCCCAAAGAGCAGCCAUUGGGGAGAGGAAGAGGAGGAGGCUUGCUCUGCACAAGAGGGGAGGGGGGGGGAUAGAGGGUCAAGCAAAGAAUACUGCAAUAAUCAAAAUUCACCGGAGCACUCUUCUAUCAGAUCACCUAUUUAAUGCACAAUUUUUUCUCUCUCUCUUUUUUCUCUGCAGCACCUGCGCAGGUAACUCAGAGGGGGGGGGAGGGCUGCAACGGAGGCAUUGCACGCUCACCCAGGCCGUUCUCGGUGCGGGCUGCAAACUAACUCGCCAGUCCAGUCCAGCGAGGGCGGAGCGUUACACCCAGGUGUGCCCUCUCCAAUCUUUCAGAUGCAGACUCCCCCGUUUUACUAUCCUAGCUCGGGGGGAGAGGAUGGCAGCUGCUAUCCAAAACAAGGUGUGUUGUCGUGGUGUUUUUUCCCACUUUGGGCAGUGGGUUUGGAAGCAGAGGGAGUGGGGGGGGGCAGAGAGGAAGAGAGGGACCCCCGUCUUGAGUGGAGCAGAGGUGGAGCAGCAGGGGCUGGAGGGGGGGGAGAAAGAAGAUUCGGGCGAGGAGUGAGGAUCAUAUUGAGAAAUGUCCAACUUGGGCCACUUUGAAGACGGUGGUUCAGAACAGACACUUCUAUUCUUGGGGCCCAAAGCUCUUAUUGCGUUGGACCACAAGAAGAAAAGACAAAGAGGGGUUUCGGGCACCUGCUUAAACUUUUUUUUUUAAUUUUUUUUGGCAACCGGAGCCUACUACAAAGUCCAUUCUCCUACAACGCCGUCAGCCACGCUGGCCC